rnacentral:snRNA from 1 species
AUAACAUUCACUCAAAGUAUUUUAAAUCUGUUCUUAUCAGUUUAAUAUCUGAUAUGUUUUCUAUAUGAGAACUUUAUAUUAAAUGGAUUUUUGAAAUAGGGAAAAGGAAUAGGAGCUUGCUUUAUCCUUUCUAUGCAUUGGCCUGGUAUUGCAGUGUUUCCAGGAACAGUGCACUUCCC